UACGAAGGGGGCUAGCGUUGUUCGGAAUUACUGGGCGUAAAGCGCGUGUAGGCGGGUCCUUAAGUCAGGGGGGAAAUGCCAAGGCUCAACCUUGGAACUGCCUUUGAUACUGGGGAUCUUGAGUUCGGAAGAGGUUGGUGGAACAGCUAGUGUAGAGGUGAAAUUCGUAGAUAUUAGCUAGAACACCAGUGGCGAAGGCGGCCAACUGGUCCGAUACUGACGCUGAGGUGCGAAAGCGUGGGGAGCAAACAGG
rnacentral:rRNA from 1 species